rnacentral:rRNA from 1 species
GUCCACGCCGUAAACGAUGGAUACUAGCUGUUGGGGCAACUUCAGUGGCUAAGCGAAAGUGAUAAGUAUCCCACCUGGGGAGUACGUUCGCAAGAAUGAAACUCAAAGGAAUUGACGGGGCCCGCACAAGCGGUGGAGCAUGUGGUUUAAUUCGAUGAUACGCGAGGAACCUUACCAAGGCUUAAAUGUAGAUUGACCGAUUUUGGAAACAGAUCUUUCGCAAGACAAUUUACAAGGUGCUGCAUGGUUGUCGU